CGCACCUUGCGCCUUUUGGUAUUCCGAAAGGCAUGCCUGUUUGAGUGUCAUGAAAUCUCAAUCCCCUCGGGUUUUUCGGAACCUCGGGGCGGACUUGGAUGUGGGCGUCUGCCGGACUUGUUUCCGGCUCGCCUUAAUGUCGUCAGUGGGAACCUGUUUGCCCAGCAUCAGACGUAAUAAGUUUCGUUUGAUCGGGUGGGAGGGCCUGCUAAUAACCCCAAUAGCGCAUCUGCGCUAUACUCUUUCGAUCUGACCUCAAAUCAGGUAGGGCUACCCGCUGAACUUAA
rnacentral:misc_RNA from 1 species